GGGUUGUGAGGUUAAGCGACUAAGCGUACACGGUGGAUGCCCUGGCAGUCAGAGGCGAUGAAGGGCGUGCUAAUCUGCGAUAAGCGCCGGUAAGGUGAUAUGAACCGUUAUAACCGGCGAUACCCGAAUGGGGAAACCCAGUGUGAUUCGUCACACUAUCAUUAACUGAAUCCAUAGGUUAAUGAGGCGAACCGGGGGAACUGAAACAUCUAAGUACCCCGAGGAAAAGAAAUCAACCGAGAUUCCCCCAGUAGCGGCGAGCGAACGGGGAGGAGCCCAGAGCCUGAAUCAGCAUGUGUGUUAGUGGAAGCGUCUGGAAAGGUGCGCGAUACAGGGUGACAGCCCCGUACACAAAAGCGCAUGUGCUGUGAGCUCGAUGAGUAGGGCGGGACACGUGAUAUCCUGUCUGAAUAUGGGGGGACCAUCCUCCAAGGCUAAAUACUCCUGACUGACCGAUAGUGAACCAGUACCGUGAGGGAAAGGCGAAAAGAACCCCGGCGAGGGGAGUGAAAAAGAACCUGAAACCGUGUACGUACAAGCAGUGGGAGC
rnacentral:rRNA from 1 species